AUACGUAGGUGGCGAGCGUUGUCCGGAAUUACUGGGCGUAAAGGAUGCGUAGGUGGAUAUUUAAGUGGGAUGUGAAAUCCCCGGGCUCAACCCGGGAACUGCAUUCCAAACUGGGUAUCUAGAGUGCAGGAGAGGAAAGCGGAAUUCCUAGUGUAGCGGUGAAAUGCGUAGAUAUUAGGAGGAACACCAGUGGCGAAGGCGGCUUUCUGGACUGUAACUGACACUGAGGCAUGAAAGCGUGGGUAGCAAACAGGAUUAGAUACCCUGGUAGUCCACGCCGUAAAUGAUGGGUACUAGGUGUAGGAGGUAUCGACCCCUUCUGUGCCGUCGUUAACACAAUAAGUACCCCGCCUGGGGAGUACGGUCGCAAGACUAAAACUCAAAUGAAUUGACGGGG
rnacentral:rRNA from 1 species